rnacentral:rRNA from 1 species
AGUGAACGCUGGCGGCAGGCCUAACACAUGCAAGUCGAGCGGCAGCGCGGGGGCAACCCUGGCGGCGAGCGGCGGACGGGUGAGUAAUUCGUCGGAAUCUGCCCUUUUGUGGGGGAUAACGUAGGGAAACUUACGCUAAUACCGCAUACGUCCUACGGGAGAACGUGGGGGACCGCAAGUCCACACGCAGAAAGAUGAGCCGACGACCGAUUAGCUAGUUGGUGGGGUAAAGGCCCACCAAGGCGACGAUCGGUAGCUGGUCUGAGAGGAUGAUCAGCCACACUGGGACUGAGACACGGCCCAAACUCCUAGGGGAGGCAGCAGUGGGGAAUAUUGGACAAUGGGCGCAAGCCUGAUCCAGCCAUGCCGCGUGUGUGAAGAAGGCCUUCGGGUUGUAAAGCACUUUUGUCCGGAAAGAAAUCCCUGGAGCUAAUACCUGCGGGGGAUGACGGUACCGGAAGAAUAAGCACCGGCUAACUUCGU